CGCUGGCGGCGUGCCUUAUGCAUGCAAGUCGAACGGGAAUGAAGACUUCGGUUUUCAUUUUAGUGGCAAACGGGUGAGUAACGCGUAAGCAACCUGUCCUCAAGUGGGGGAUAACUCCGAGAAAUCGGGGCUAAUACCGCAUGAUGCGCCGAGGGUAAUGCCUUGGUGCCAAAGCCGCAAGGCGCUGGGGGAGGGGCUUGCGUCCUAUCAGGUAGUUGGUGGGGUAACGGCCUACCAAGCCGAUGACGGGUAGCUGGUCUGAGAGGAUGUCCAGCCACACUGGGACUGAGAUACGGCCCAGACUCCUACGGGAGGCAGCAGCAAGGAAUUUUGCGCAAUGGGCGAAAGCCUGACGCAGCAACGCCGCGUGGGUGAUGAAGGCUCUCGGGUCGUAAAGCCCUUUUGUUGGGGAAGAAGUUCUGACGGUACCCAACGAAUAAGCCUCGGCUAACUACGUGCCAGCAGCCGCGGUAAUACG
rnacentral:rRNA from 1 species